GACGAACGCUGGCGGCAGGCUUAACACAUGCAAGUCGAGUGGAGUAUUGGUGCUUGCACCAAUACUUAGCGGCGGACGGGUGAGUAAUGCUUAGGAAUCUGCCUAUUAGUGGGGGACAACAUCUAGAAAGGGAUGCUAAUACUGCAUACGCACUACGGGGGAAAGCAGGGGAUCUUCGGACCUUGCGCUAAUAGAUGAGCCUAAGUCGGAUUAGCUAGUUGGUGGGGUAAAGGCCUACCAAGGCGACGAUCUGUAGCGGGUCUGAGAGGAUGGUCCGCCACACUGGGACGGAGACACGGCCCAGACGCCUACUGGAGGCAGCAGUGGGGAAUAUUGGACAAUGGGUGGAACCUUGAUCCAGCCAUGCCGCGUGUGUGAAGAAGGCCUUUUGGUUGUAAAGCACUUUAAGCGAGGAGGAGGCUACUCUAGUUAAUACCUAGGGAUAGUGGACGUUACUCGCAGAAUAAGCACCGGCUAACUCUGUGCCAGCCGCCGCCGUAAGAC
rnacentral:rRNA from 1 species